rnacentral:rRNA from 1 species
AUUGAACGCUGGCGGCAGGCCUAACACAUGCAAGUCGAGCGGUAGCACAGAGAGCUUGCUCUCGGGUGACGAGCGGCGGACGGGUGAGUAAUGUCUGGGAAACUGCCUGAUGGAGGGGGAUAACUACUGGAAACGGUAGCUAAUACCGCAUAACGUCGCAAGACCAAAGAGGGGGACCUUCGGGCCUCUUGCCAUCAGAUGUGCCCAGAUGGGAUUAGCUGGUAGGUGGGGUAACGGCUCACCUAGGCGACGAUCCCUAGCUGGUCUGAGAGGGUAGCCAGCCACACUGGAACCGAGCCACUGUCGAGACUCCUACGGGAGGCGACAGUGGGGAAUAUGGAAAAGUGGGCGCAAGCCGGAGGCAGCCAUGCCGCGUGUAUGAAGAAGGCCUUCGGGUUGUAAAGUACUUUCAGCGGGGAGGAAGGUGUUGAGGUUAAUAACCUCAGCAAUUGACGUUACCCGCAGAAGAAGCACCGGCUAACUCCGUGCCAGCAGCCGCCGUAA